GGCCCCGUAGCUCAGCUGGAUAGAGCAACCGCCUCCUAAGCGGUAGGUCAUAGGUUCGAAUCCUGUCGGGGCCGCCA
rnacentral:tRNA from 1 species